ACACAAUGUGAACUUUUGUACUUCUAUGCUUUUUUUUAGGGAAGACUAUUUUCCACUUAGUUAAUCUUCUAUGCUCGAGCAUGAACAAAAACAAUUGUGUUGGGUGAAAUCCCCCCUUUUGUCUGCAUCCACAAAGUAAUAUGAGGGGGAAAAAAAAAAAAAACCCCGAAGAUGAGUUUCUAGUCGGAGCAUGGUAGGAAGAGAGUGCCCGGCUUGGCAUCCGCCGCCACUGCCUGUUCUUGCUGCCGGCGCCCGGCUGCGACUGCUGCCGUGGGGAAAGGUCUGCGAAAUUCUUUGCUUUGGAAAUACAAUCAAGGAGAAAUCUCCAUUUUGGCCGGCUGUGCGGUUUCUCCACACUGGCCCAGCCAAGUCCCUCAGCGUCAAUUUGAAAUUCGGGGCGCUAAAAUUUCCGCCGGCCGUGUGAAAGAUCUGCUGCAAAUUCACUUGACACCCGUGUUAAUACCAUGUCGUGUUCAUUUUUUUUUUAUGAGUCAGGCCCCUCGUGCCUCUAGUAUACUUGUAUUGACUCUCAUAGUUACCAUUUUAGUUUUACUGUGUUCUGUGAAAAAAAUUGUAAUUGGUUGAGAAUCACUGUGGGCAUCCAUUCUUAUUCAACUAAGUCUCCGCAGGUUUUUUGAGCUGGUGUGGAUUAGUUUAACUCUUGUAUUCAACCAUUAGUGCUACCACCUUCUCACAUUACAAUACAAUUACUGGAAGCAAGUACUGCAUUUCCUAUGCAACAAAAAAGGAAAAUAAAAAAUUGCUAAUGCU